GGUGUUAGAGAACUGCUUGGUGUAAGUAUGUGUGGGAGGACCCCCUCCCACACAUCCUCACACCCACUGGAAUCAGGUCUGGGAACCCUAAUGGAGUUACACUACUAUUACUGCUGUGUAUAAUAUUGUUACUGUUCUCCAUACAUGUAGGGGAGAAAUACAUCACUGCAUUUGGUGUCGGAAGAGUGGAGAUCAUGGUCUGUGUCCAAUUUCCCUCUUCUGAUAAGGACACUGCUCACUGCAUUAGGACCCAUCCCACUCCAAGAUGAGUUCGUCAUGAUUCUAUCUACAAAGACUCUAUGUCCACAUAAGGUCACAUUCACUGGUUCCGGGGAUUCUCUGACUUAAACAUAUCAUUUGGGGAUCACAAUUCAACUCAGAACAGGGCCUUUAAUAUGGACUUGGACCGUCAGGGCAGGCUUCCUGGAGGAAGUGAAAUCGAUCUUUGGAAGCAAGGAGGAGUGGACUUGCUUCCGAAAGAAUGAGGAGGGACAAGUAUGUGUGAAGUCAUAGUAUGUGUGAGGCUAUAAACGGCACUAAGUCUGGCUGGGGAAAGUAAGAGUGACAUGGAUGCAAUUAAACACGGGCUGGGUGGCACACGGCCCUGCAUUACAUCUUAAGGGGUUUGGAUUCUAUCCUGAGGGUAAUGGGAAGACUGAAAACUUUUAUGCAAGAUACUGACAUGGUCAUCUUCAUAUUAUAGAAAUAUUGCUCUGUGGCUACAUGGAGAAUUGACGGGAGAGGGGCAGCCCAGGGGCUGGGUGACAGGAGGAGGAGAAGUGAGUGCACCACAGUCACACAACUUGCCCAGGGUUACACAAACAGUGUGACAAAGUCAAAAUCGGAACCCUGUCUGCCGGUGCUGAGGAUCCUUCCAUUCCCUGCCUGUGGCUGUCUCCCUCAGGGGUCUUUGUGGCACCUUGUCCCCCCGUGACCUCAAUAGCCAGAGGUAUUCACUCUAAAGUGUUUGAUGUAUGGCUGAAUAUACUCAUGGAUCCUUGUUAAAAUCUAAUGUUUUGU